rfam:Ipomoea nil DNA, scaffold: scaffold2921, cultivar: Tokyo-kokei standard.
GUAUCCCCUAGAGUUCCUCUGAGCACUUCAUUGAUUACUCCUUUAACCCUUAAAUUUAGGGCAUAGGAAGCUCACUGAAGUGUUUGGAGGAACUCCUGGAGUUAC